rnacentral:lncRNA from 1 species
GCGAAUGUUUCGGCCUGGUACUAGAGCUGGCCGAUUUCUUGGCCAACUGUCCAAUCACUAUGCCUCGUCAGCCGGCUGAGUUGGCCAUCAGAGCUCUCUCAUUGGCCUAAUGGCGAUCACUGAGAAUGUGGGCGUCGCCAGAGUUGGCCAACAGACCAAUCACGUUGUCUCGUUGUCCGACUGGACAUGAAUAUUUAUGAUUACCUCACCGCUACGUCACCGUAAAAUAUGAAUAUUCAUCUCUUCGGCGGAACCUUCGAAUUCACUGCCAAAUCGAGCACUGUUUCAUCGAUAAAUCCACCCUUUUGAGGACUUUUGGAUGUUGUUUACAUAUGGACGUGGAAAUUGUGAUCAUUCUUCGCAUGUAUGAUACCAUGGUGCUGUACAGUAUACACACACCCAGACUGUGGGAUCUGGUACGUCAAACUUGACCAGGCAUCGUAAAAUCCACAAUGACAGGAUGCACCAUCCACAGCGUCAACGUCAGCAGAUACCGUUGCUGCAGGGGAAUGAACUGUGGUGAGACUAGACUCUGGUGAACUGCAUCUCUGCGGAGUGGUAUAGGAUAUCGCCAUGCAUUCAAGUGCUGGAAAAUAACCAGAGAGCUGAAGAGGACAGUGCCAAUGACGACGAUGAGAGCAUCAUAGGUGAUAUGUCUGUCGCUGUGGACCUCAUCGACAGUACGAAUACCGAGGACUCUUGGAAGUGGAACGUCGAUACCAUGUUUCGAGUAGGCCCGAGACCUAAGCAAUUUCAUUCGGACCGAUGGAACAGUACGAUGUGAUGUUGUGCAACUAUUGCGUUUAAUGAUUGAAAUACGUUUUUCAUCGUGCUACUCAGCAUGGACCAGACGCGAGCCCUAUUAACGCUAUGUACUGUAAUGGUGCUUUUCACUCUGCUUCAGGAAUCACACAGAUAUGCACAUGUGGACGAUGAAUUGUUGAUUGGAAAAAGACUGAACAUUUUUCUCAAUUGCCAUGCUUAUUUUGCAAAUUUGUCAUCAAUUACACAAUUUCUUACGGAAAGAAAGAACGCACUAAUCCAUGGCUCUACACAGUUGGGGGGGGGGGGGGUAUGCUUUAGUGGUUGCCCCACCCCCCUCCUUUUGUGUAUGGCCAUGAAUUUAUUUGAAUUAGUUUUGUACAGGUACAUACAUGAAUACAGAAAUCGAUUAUCAAAGAGUGACCGAAGCAAAGAUAUUUAAUUAAUUAAAAGAUGAGAACACUGAUGUAAAUAUUGCUUAUGAUUAUUGA